rnacentral:rRNA from 1 species
ACGGAGGGUGCAAGCGUUAUCCGGAUUUACUGGGUUUAAAGGGUGUGUAGGCGGAUAUUUAAGUCAGAGGUGAAAUCUCCGAGCUCAACUCGGAAACUGCCUUUGAUACUAUUUAUCUUGAAUUUCGUUGAGGUUGGCGGAAUAUAUCAUGUAGCGGUGAAAUGCAUAGAUAUGAUAUAGAACACCGAUUGCGUAGGCAGCUGGCUGAACGAACAUUGACGCUGAGGCACGAAAGCGUGGGUAGCGAACAGG